rnacentral:ncRNA from 1 species
ACCUUAUAUAGAUGUAGUAACGCAAGACAGUUGCGCAUUUCCCUGUAAGGUGGUGUUUCAAUAGAAGUAUAAACAACAAGUCUCAUUGUGUGGCUACGAGUCGAAAUGAGAUGAGUUUAUAUGAAAUAGGUUAACCGUAAGACCUUGAGUUGAAAAACUCUGAAAUUGAACUAGGGAUUAAAUUUCUGAAAUUUCGUAUUCUCUAGUUACGGUGGU